ensembl:lncRNA
GAAAUGACUCAUCAAUACAGCAUUCAUUUUCGGUGAGGAUAAACAUAGUUGCACAUGAUCCCAACACUUGCUCACUAAAGCAUACUUACCAGAAGUCCACUGGCAUGAUUUGAUAAUACAAUGAUGUGCAUUGCAAGCAAAUAUGGUUCUGGACAGAUAGCUUACAGUGAUAAAACACUGCAUUUCUGACAUCUAUUUCCCCUUGCAGUGUAUGUUGGAAUCCCCCAUGGGGUACAAAACAAAUCUUUGCAAUUGGCUCAAUCUGGAAUGGGUGGGUAGAGUUCACUCUUUAAAACUGUCGGAUUGGUCCAUGAUGUGUAAACUCCACCCUCCAGCAGACCAGUGCACACCAGCUGCAUGAAAUCAAGAGCACCUAAUCGCAAUUGGGAAAAUGAACCAAUUUAAAUUAAGUUCAUUGGUUGACACCUGUACAUAAUUAGUCAUUCAGGUAAGAAGGGUCUGGGAUUCCUUUAUGAGGUGCAACCAAAACAGCUGUUAGACAUUGCAACAGGGAUAUUCUGGCAGGGUGUCUGUCUAGCAUUAGUUCUGAAUACGGUUGUGGUUUUGAUAACUAAUAUGGCUUUUGGACUCUCUUUGAGUGUUUCUUGGAUUUGUUGCCUGCUAAUUGGAGGGAUAACUUGUUUUACACUUAAAGGUAACGCUCAUGGGCAUCCUGCCUACACUGGACCUGAACCAACUGGAUCCUAUGCCCAAGCAAGUGUGGUGUCUGGUCCAAAUGCUAAAGCUACUGGCCACAAUGCCACGUCAGCAGAAGCUACUGGCCACAAUGCCACGUCAGCAGAAGCUACUGGCCACAAUGCCACGUCAGCAGAAGCAACUGGCCACAAUGCCACGUCAGCAGAAGCAACUGGCCACAAUGCCACGUCAGCAGAAGCAACUGGCCACAAUGCCACGUCAGCAGAAGCUACUGGCCACAAUGCCACGUCAGCAGAAGCUACUGGCCACAAUGCCAUGUCAAGUGUAAAGUCCGGCCCCAGCGCCUCAGCAGAAGCAACAGGCCCCGGCGCCUCAGCGGUAGCGUCCGGCCCCGGCGCCUCAGCAGAAGCAACAGGGCCCGGCGCCUCAGCAGAAGCAACAGGGCCCGGCGCCUCAGCAGAAGCAACAGGGCCCGGCGCCUCAGCAGUAGCGACAGGCCCCGGCACCUCAGCAGUAGCGACAGGCCCCGGCGCCUCAGCAGAAGCGACAGACCCCGGCGCCUCAGCAGAAGCGACAGGCCCCCGCGCCUCAGCAGAAGCGACAGGCCCCGGUGCCUCAGCAGAAGCGACAGGCCCCCGCGCCUCGUCAGCAGAAGCUACUGGCCACAAUGUCACGUCAGCAGAAGCUACUGGCCACAAUGCCAUGUCAAGUGUAAAGUCCGGCCCCGGCUCCUCAGUAGAAGCAACAGGCCCCGGCGCCUCAGCGGUAGCGUCCGGCCCCGGCGCCUCAGCGGAAGCAACAGGCCCCGGCGCCUCAGCAGAAGCAACAGGCCCCGGCGCCUCAGCAGAAGCAACAGGCCCCGGCGCCUCAGCAGAAGCAACAGGCCCCGGCGCCUCAGCAGAAGCAACAGGCCCCGGCGCCUCAGCAGAAGCGGCAGGCCCCGGCGCCUCAGCAGAAGCGACAAGCCUUGAACAGACGGCCCGACCACUCAACUAGGGAGAUCAUAAUUUGGUUUGGCCAACUCUUUAAUCGUCUUAUCCCUGUUACCUUUACCCUUUUCUGCAAGAGGCACAGUAACUGAGGUGGGGAAAUGUGUGAACUAAUGCACUUGUUUGAAAUGAGGAUCUCCUUCACUUGUACAUCGUCAUGCAAAUUGUAUACAGAGGUGGAUGAUACAAUGUUAUGAAUCGUUUUUAUAAACAUACGACUAAAUUGACUUCUGUAUGUAGCGAUAUUGCUGACACACUUUUAGGUUCUACGGUUAUGCUUUUGAUUUAGCCUGGUGUUCCUGCUACUCUUGCAUGAUUUGCUCAAUAAACCAUUUGACUUUCAAAAAACCUUGUCCUUAAAAUAUAAUCUCUUCUGCCUACCAUGUGCUUGCUGUUUGGUAACAGACUGUGGGCCUGGAGUAAAAGGGAAUUUGCGUUUUUGUUAUACACUUGUCUAAACAGAUUUGUUUCUGGUAGUUCAAAUUCUAAAGUUUUCUAACUUGUCAGAGCUCCCUCAUAUGUUCAUACACUACCUGUCCCUUAGUGUAGGCUGUUUGCUUUACAGUAAUCUGCCUUUUACCACCAAUGCCUAAAGAAUGUGACUGCAGUGUAACUCAUCGUCCCAUUACCUGUCACUAACCUGUCCCAGGGACGCUGAAGUUUCUCCUUGGCCUUAUUCAGAAACAUUAAAUCAACUUGACACAUUCUGACU